AGUGAACGCUGGCGGUAGGCCUAACACAUGCAAGUCGAACGGCAGCACAGUAAGAGCUUGCUCUUACGGGUGGCGAGUGGCGGACGGGUGAGGAAUACAUCGGAAUCUACUUUUUCGUGGGGGAUAACGUAGGGAAACUUACGCUAAUACCGCAUACGACCUACGGGUGAAAGCAGGGGAUCUUCGGACCUUGCGCGAUUGAAUGAGCCGAUGUCGGAUUAGCUAGUUGGCGGGGUAAAGGCCCACCAAGGCGACGAUCCGUAGCUGGUCUGAGAGGAUGGACCGGCACACUGGAACUGAGACACGGUCCAGACUCCGACGGGAGGCAGCAGUGGGGAAUAUUGGACAAUGGGCGCAAGCCUGAUCCAGCCAUACCGCGUGGGUGAAGAAGGCCUUCGGGUUGUAAAGCCCUUUUGUUGGGAGAGAAAAGCAGCAGGUUAAUACCCCGCUGUUCUGACGGUACCCAAAGAAUAAGCACCGGCUAACUUCGUG
rnacentral:rRNA from 1 species